rnacentral:lncRNA from 1 species
UUUUUCUCCAAGGUCUUCAGCACUGUGACCCAGUCUUGCUCAGAUUCUGACGUCUUUCUCUUUGGUGUGUGGGAAGGUCUGUGGUUGAGUCAAGGUCAGAGCUUCUUUGCCUUGUUUCUAGGCCAUUCGGAGAAACUACACCUUAAGUACCUAGUGGACAGUGGGUAGAAAGAAGGAGAGAGAAAGGAAUCUGCUUCCACGCUUCCAAUGGAGAGGUUCCACUAACUUCGGAUUCCCAGUGUAUAGACAUUCUCUUCUUGGGAGAAAAGACUCCUAGAGGCUAUGUAGGCCAAGCCGACUCCCUGUUCCACCUAAGAACUUACUGGAGACAGUCAUCGAGCCUUCUGAGUCCUCCUUUCUCCAAGUCCUUCAGCGGAACCUCAAUGGAUACCACAUGGUUUCUACAUUUGCAGCCACCCUCCUCAGAGCACUUUGUCAAUAUCCUUCCUGAACUGUGACUCCUGCUUUGACACAUUAUUCUAACUCUUUUCUUCUCUUGUUAUGCUAACUUCGUCUUAUAUUGAUAUCUAACUUUUCGUGGUUCUAUGCCUUGUCUGCCUUACUAAGUUCUGUCCUUUAUUUAUGGUGACGGCAUUUUGUACAGUGUAACUCCAAAGUAAGAAAGUCUUUAUUCCCCGGUCAAAUAAAGGUAUAUCCAAAUGAAUGAUGUGUUUCAGGAGUUAUGCACUUAUUCCAGUGAUGCCUUAAUCACCCACCUUACCCUUUAGAAAUUGUAUUCACCCUGGGAGAGAGGGAAGGAGAAACAUUUGGGACAAGAUGCAGAGGAGACUUCCAAGUUCAGGGUUGACUUCAUGUAUGCAGCCUGUAGCAUCACAUGGGGCCCCUUUCGCAGAAGGGCCCUGCACUAGGUUUAAGGCUUGGCUGUCAUGGUUUGAAAUUCUUGAUAAUGUUAUCUUCGAGCCUGUGUUUUGUAAGUAAAGUCUGAUGGCACAAUGGAAC